rnacentral:sRNA from 1 species
CUUCUAGCUCAGCAUCUUCUUCAUCAUCACCAUCACCAUAAUG